GAUGAACGCUGGCGGCGUGCCUAAUACAUGCAAGUCGAGCGAACAGAUGAGGAGCUUGCUCCUCUGACGUUAGCGGCGGACGGGUGAGUAACACGUGGAUAACCUACCUAUAAGACUGGGAUAACUUCGGGAAACCGGAGCUAAUACCGGAUAAUAUAUUGAACCGCAUGGUUCAAUAGUGAAAGACGGUUUUGCUGUCACUUAUAGAUGGAUCCGCGCCGCAUUAGCUAGUUGGUAAGGUAACGGCUUACCAAGGCAACGAUGCGUAGCCGACCUGAGAGGGGAACCGGCCAAAUGGAACUGAGACACGGUCCAGACUCCUACGGGAGGCAGCAGUAGGGAAUCUUCCGCAAUGGGCGAAAGCCUGACGGAGCAACGCCGCGUGAGUGAUGAAGGUCUUCGGAUCGUAAAACUCUGUUAUUAGGGAAGAACAAAUGUGUAAGUAACUAUGUACGUCUUGACGGUACCUAAUCAGAAAGCCACGGCUAACUACGUG
rnacentral:rRNA from 1 species